GGACCGCCCCCAAGGGGACCGCGCGCGCUCUGGGAAGCAACAGGCCUAGCUGUUCUCUUUCCAGCACGUACAUUUCCAACCCAGCCCUCUCCACUCCCUUCGAAGUUUCUUGGAAGAGAACUUUGGGUCAGAAGAGUAGAAGGAAUUGCCAAAAUUCAACCCUGCCAAAAUGGCCUUCCUAUUGGAAGAAUUUGAGUUCUCUGCAAGCUUUGCAGAAUCCCCAAGCCUGUCAUUUACAAACCACUGGCUGCAGUCAGUACGUGUGGGAAGCCUAUACCAGCAUCUGUGUGGAUCACAGAAGGCUUUGCAGAUUCAGCAGGGUUUGCAGUUACAGACGCCUGAGCCGAGUUGGAGUCGUGUAUCAGCCUGCACCAGGACAAUGAUUCCUAUGGACUGAACGCUUCACACAGGUGGUCUGAAAUCUUGCUUUUUGUUGCCUGUACAAGCAACUCACAAGGUCACAGAUCCCAAGCCUGGGAGAGGAACCAACAGUUCUCCUCCUUACCCUCCAAAAAAAAAAAAAAAAAAAAGAAGAAGAAGAGAGAAAGAAAGAAAGAAAGAAAGAAAGAAGAAAGAAAGAAAGAAAGAAAGAAAGAAAGAAAGUAGCUCAUUUGGGCGUGGUGGCACAUGCCUUUAGUCCCAGCACUCCCGAGGCAGAGGCCAGGCCAGCCUGGUCUAUAAAACCCUGUUUUAGGGGUUUGGGGAUUUAGCUCAGUGGUAGAGCACUUGCCUAGCAAUCGCAAGGCCCUUCCUCAGCUCUAGGGGAAAAAAAAAAAAAAAAGAAAAGACAAAACCCUGUUUUGAAAAACAAACAAAAAGGGCUGGAGAGAUGUCUCAGAGGUUCAGAGCACUGGCUGCUCUUCCAGAGGUCCUGAGCUCAGUCAGCGUGCGAUCCGGUGCCCCCUUCUGGUGUGCGGGCGUGCACAAUGUUGUAAUUCCUAAUGCAGGGAUUAAAGCAGGCAUGAGCUUCCGUUUGUUUACUUAUAUUAUGUACACAGUGUUGUGUAGGGAGGCAGAGGCAGGCAGGCAUCUGAGUUCGAAGCCAUCUCUGAUCUAUAGAGAGAAUUCCAGCACAGCCAGGGCUACCUGUCUCAAAAAACAAAACCGAAACAAAGAGGGAAAGGAUGAGUUCCAGGCCAGAGUCUAAAUGUAACUUUCGUCCCCCUGUGCUCUAUCAUCUGUUCUAGAAAACACUCCAAAGAAGCCAGGCAUUGUUCUGCAGAUCAGGUAUUAUUUAGGUCAUGCCCAUGCCCCAGCUUUCAGCGUGAGUGAGCCCUUCUAGACCUCAAUUUACUGCAACCAGCAGCUUUUGAAAGAGCUGCUUUGUGGUGCCUUCUAGUAAAAGUAGCAUCACAAAACAAAACAAACAAAAACCCCCACAGAAAAACAAGAAGAAAAACCCACCCGUAUAAAAAUGGGGUUUCAUGGCCACAGCCUGAGACUGGAGCAGCGGUACCCCAGGCACCCUUUAUCAGAUUAGCAUCUUCAAAAUGCCCAUAAGAAAUGCAUUUGUCCAUCCUGCGCCUGGUGGCUCAUCAGCUGGGAAUGGAUGACCUCAGGCCACCAGGCAAAGGGGGUUUGUUGUGAAAUCAGUAAACAAAGCAAACUCUGGGUUAAAGGUGCCUCAAAACCACAACCUGCAACAAAGUGUUUUGUUGGUGUGUGCACAGCACGCUUGCGCUGCUCACAAUCAGUUCUACCCAUCAUGGAAAAUUUUCCAGGGCAAAAACAGAUGCUGGGGAAUCAUGGCACCAAGAAGAAUGUUUCUUUUGCUCGUGACCGUGAAUCCGACACAACUCACUGUUCCCUUCUCGUCCUUGAAUUUUCUGCUUCCUCUGCCUGGACUACCCUGCCCCUGUCCUCUACACAGUCAAGAGUCAUCUUCUUUUACACUUUUUUAUUUUAUUAUUUUAUGUGUCUGGGUGCUGGCUGUGCAUGUGUCAGUGUGCCGCGUGUUUGAACCGCCCAGAUCUAAAGUAACAGAUGCUGUGAGUGCUAAUGUGGGUGCUGGGAAUUGAACCCAAAUUCUCCGGAAGAGCAGCCAGUCCAGGUUAGCCUUCAACAUGCUAUGUAGUGGAGGCUAGCCUUGAACUCAUGGUCCUACUGCCUCCACCUUCCAAAUGCCAAGGUUCCAUGAUAAAUAAUGAGGUCCAGGCCAGGCUGGGUGACUUGAAACCUUUUCGAAAAGCAUAGUAGUGACAAGCGGGACAGCUUAGUGGGUAAAGCACCUGUGUUCAGACCCCAAAUCUACGUAUAGGUGGAAGGAGAGAGCCAACUUGACAGUACGGUCCUCUGACUACUGCACAUGCUCUGUGGGCACAUUCACUCACACACACAAUCAUAAUUAAAAAAUUUGUACUUUAGAACAUUUUUUAUUUUAUGGGUGUGCGUGUUGCCUGUAGGUAUAUUUUUGUAGCACUUGAGUGCCUGGUGCCCUUGAAAGCCAGAAGAGAGCAACAGAACUGUAGCUCCUAGAACUGGAGCUACAGAGAGGUGUGCGCUCUUAACUGCUGAAUCAUCGCUCUGGCCCUGACAAUAAAUUUUUCAAAAAUAUCCUUUUGCACGUCGCUUUCUUCCCUUGUGUUUCUACUUUCAGCCUAUUACAUUUUCCAGUCCUUGGAAUCUGGGCUUGCUGUUCCUCGCAAGGCAGAAAGCAUAUUACAGGAUCUAGAGGAGACAUGGAAAUAGGA